GGUCGGUAGUCCAUGGGGGCACGGAGUUUUGAAAGCUCAGGUAUGGCGUUCGAUUCGUCAACCGGCUU
rnacentral:tRNA from 1 species